GCCAGUGUGGCGUAACGGCAGCCGCGGCGGUCUGAGAGGCCGCUCCGAAAGGGUGAGAGUUCGAUUCUCUCCACUGGCA
rnacentral:tRNA from 1 species